rnacentral:misc_RNA from 1 species
CAUCUAUCAGACGGUCUCCCGUUUGCAUUGAGCCCCUCGCUAUGACUUGUCAUAGCGGAGCUCUAAGAUUUGUCUUGCAGAUUGCAUCGACUCGACUCUUGGGAGAGAUCCUGGGUUGUUGUUGGUGGCUGCAGUGACAUGGCUGCCAAGACUCGACUGAUUGUCUUGAAAGCGCCAACCGAUUUCAUUU